rnacentral:rRNA from 1 species
GACGAACGCUGGCGGCGUGCCUAAUACAUGCAAGUCGAACGAACCGCGACUAAGUGCUUGCACUAAGUCAAGGUGAGUGGCGAACGGGUGAGUAACACGUGGGUAACCUACCUCAUAGUGGGGGAUAACAGUCGGAAACGACUGCUAAUACCGCAUAGGACAUAGGAUCACAUGAUCCAGUGAUGAAAGGUGGCGCAAGCUAUCGCUAAGAGAUGGACCCGCGGUGCAUUAGCUAGUUGGUAGGGUAAAGGCCUACCAAGGCGAUGAUGCAUAGCCGACCUGAGAGGGUGAUCGGCCACAUUGGGACUGAGACACGGCCCAAACUCCUACGGGAGGCAGCAGUAGGGAAUCUUCCGCAAUGGGCGCAAGUCUGACGGAGCAACGCCGCGUGAGUGAAGAAGGUCUUCGGAUCGUAAAGCUCUGUUGUUAGAGAAGAACAGCGCAUAGAGUAACUGCUAUGCGUGUGACGGUAUCUAAACAGAAAGCCACGGCUAACUACGUG